GCCCUUUUAGCUCAAUUGGGAGAGCGCAUGUUUUGUAAUCAUGAGGUUCUAGGAUCAUACCCUAGAAAGGGCA
rnacentral:tRNA from 1 species